UACGAGGGGGCGAGCGUUGUUCGGAAUUAUUGGGCGUAAAGGGUGCGUAGGCGGUUCCGCAAGUCCUGUGUGAAAUCUUCGGGCUCAACUCGAAGUCUGCACGGGAAACUGCCGGGCUUGAGUGUGGGAGAGGUGAGUGGAAUUCCUGGUGUAGCGGUGAAAUGCGUAGAUAUCAGGAGGAACACCUGUGGCGAAGGCGGCUCUCUGGGACGGUACUGACGCUGAGACGCGAAAGCGUGGGGAGCGAACAGG
rnacentral:rRNA from 1 species